UACGGGAGGCAGCAGUGGGGAAUAUUGCACAAUGGGCGCAAGCCUGAUGCAGCCAUGCCGCGUGUAUGAAGAAGGCCUUCGGGUUGUAAAGUACUUUCAGUCGUGAGGAAGGUGUUAAGGUUAAUAACCUUAGCAAUUGACGUUAGCGACAGAAGAAGCACCGGCUAACUCCGUGCCAGCAGCCGCGGUAAUACGGAGGGUGCGAGCGUUAAUCGGAAUUACUGGGCGUAAAGGGCACGCAGGCGGUUAAUUAAGUUGGAUGUGAAAUCCCCGGGCUUAACCUGGGAAUGGCAUUCAAGACUGGUUAGCUAGAGUCUUGUAGAGGGGGUUAGAAUUCCAUGUGUAGCGGUGAAAUGCGUAGAGAUGUGGAGGAAUACCGGUGGCGAAGGCGGCCCCUGGACAAAGGCUGACGCUCAUGUGCGAAAGCGUGGGGAGCAAACGAGGAUUAGAUACC
rnacentral:rRNA from 1 species